AUCCGGAGGAGAGUCCCCACGGGAGGUAUAACAUAAACUACUUGCAUCUUCAUGCUCUUAGUCUGUCGGGAGCCAUCAACCCCCCCACUUUCAACAACGGAUCUCUUGGUUCUCGCAUCGAUGAAGAACGCAGCGAAAUGCGAUAAGUAGUGUGAAUUGCAGAAUUCAGUGAAUCAUCGAAUCUUUGAACGCACAUUGCGCCUCCUGGUAUUCCGGGAGGCAUGCCUGUUCGAGCGUCAUUAAAAACCAUCAAGCACUCUUGCUUGGACUUGGGAGAUGAGUGCCUACGGUUCUCACUGCCGAAAUUGAAUGGCGGAUAGCCUUGGGGUGCCCCAGCGUAGUAAGUCUUCUUUCGCUUGGAACCCGAGACGGUCCCGCCCUCAACCCCCACAUUUCUAUGGUUGACCUCGGAUCAGGUAGGGAUACCCGCUGAACUUAAGCAUAUCAAUAAGCGGAGGAA
rnacentral:rRNA from 1 species